AUUGAACGCUGGCGGCAUGCUUUACACAUGCAAGUCGAACGGCAGCACGGGUGCUUGCACCUGGUGGCGAGUGGCGGACGGGUGAGUAAUACAUCGGAACGUAUCCUAAAGUGGGGGAUAACGCAUCGAAAGAUGUGCUAAUACCGCAUACACUCUGAGGAGGAAAGUAGGGGAUCGAAAGACCUUAUGCUUUUGGAGCGGCCGAUGUCUGAUUAGCUAGUUGGUAAGGUAAUGGCUUACCAAGGCAACGAUCAGUAGUUGGUCUGAGAGGACGACCAGCCACACUGGGACUGAGACACGGCCCAGACUCCUACGGGAGGCAGCAGUGGGGAAUUUUGGACAAUGGGCGCAAGCCUGAUCCAGCAAUGCCGCGUGAGUGAAGAAGGCCUUCGGGUUGUAAAGCUCUUUCAGUUGAGAAGAAAAGAUUGUGACUAAUAAUUGCAAUUCAUGACGGUAUC
rnacentral:rRNA from 1 species